CCAAACCAUCUCUCAGAGAGUAAAAUUUAACCAACGCCAAAUCAGAAAACGAAAACAAACACUGUUGAAAGGCCAUUUUCCGCCAUAUAUUAAUGAGCGUUCACAUAAAAAGCAAAUCUGUGUCUCAAGCUCAAGGUAAAACUAGAACAAAAUUUAUCUUUGCAAGAAGCAGCUCCGGCAGAGACCCAAAGCAAGUUUGUGGUGGGUCGGAUUUCAUCUUGUAGAAAUGGCCGUUGAUAGUGAGAGAUCAGUUGUUGACGUGAAGGUUUGGAGUCUUUGUAAAAUUCCGUUUUGGCACACGAGCAUUGCUUCGUCUUCUUCCUCUUCUGCUUCUGCUUCGGUUUCUGGUCAGAGUCAUAUUCAUCAAGCAGUUGAAAGGUCGAGCCUGCAUUCUUCGAAUGCCAUUUCGUCUAUGGCCAAGUCUCUGCUUCCUUCCCGGAGGAGGCUCCGGCUUGAUCCACCCAACAAGCUCUUCUUUCCCUAUGAACCUGGAAAGCAGGUCAAGAGUGCCGUUGGGAUUAAAAACACCUGCAAGUCUCAUGUAGCUUUCAAGUUCCAAACAACUGCACCAAAGAGUUGUUAUAUGCGUCCUCCAGGUGGUGUACUUGCUCCUGGUGAAAGUAUAAUUGCAACAGUUUUUAAGUUUGUUGAGCCUCCUGAGAACAAUGAGAAAUCGAUAGAUCACAAGAGCAAGGUUAAGUUCAAAAUCAUGAGCUUGAAGGUGAAAGGUGAAAUGGACUAUGUACCAGAACUGUUUGAUGAGCAAAGGGAUCACACAGCUGUUGAGCAAGUUUUGCGGGUAGUUUUCAUUGACCCGGAACGUCCUAGCCCUGCCCUGGAAAAGCUUAAGCGGCAGUUGGCUGAGGCUGAGGCUGCAGUUGAAGCAUGCAAGAAACCCCCAGAAGACACAGGUCCUCGAAUUGUUGGGGAAGGACUUGUUAUAGAUGAAUGGAAAGAACGGAGGGAAAGAUACCUUGCCCGGCAGCAGGUUGAAGGGGUGGAUUCAAAGUAAAGUACUGUUGUUUCCUCAUGUUUUGUGGACUUUUUUUUGUUUUUCCAAGUGGAGGUAGAGGCAAGCAACAGAAGCUGUCAGAAGUUGUCAUAGAUAGGGCUCCAUAUGGGCGUUUUCAGUAGACAUUGAUGAUAAACACUAGAAGAUUGUAAACAAGAGAAUUUGGAAUGCAGACAUGAAAAGUAUGCUUGGCAUUAUUUGUUCCCAUCAAAGUGACCACUGAUGUGUACCCAACUCUGCUGGCAUAGAGCACUUUUAGUGAUCAUGGAUAAUACACUAGAUGGAAACGUGGUCAGUUUUGUGAUUUAAUUACUUGGGUUGACCAUAUCAAAGUGAUCUAAAAUGCAUAGGCAGCUUAGGUGGAAAUAUGUGU